CUAUUUAAUAAGGUCAAUAAAUGCGGUUUAUCAUUGCGAUAUGAUGAAUAAUAUGACCAUUGGCACAUCGUGUACGCGAAAUUUGUUUUUUAUUGUAGUCGGAAUACGAAUAGUAUAUUACGGGUUUUUAUAUAAGUGAUGGAAAAUUUUAUAUUUUAAGUUAUUAAUUUUUUAACGCACAUAUCCUGUCAUUUGUAUUGUAACAAGUACAUCUUGUGUUUUUGUUACACUGAAAAAUCUCUCACUUGAUGUGUCAAACGCUAAUCUUGGGAGCGCGUCUUGGAUACGUAACAUGAUUGUCGCAGUCCUUUCAACAAAAUUCUCAGAUAGCUCUUGCAUGAAAAGGAAACUACCGUAGAUUGUCGAGAGGAAUCAAACUCAAUGCGAAGGUGGCCUUACUAUGUGUAACUGGCCUAACGUACGUAUAUGCGUCUCUGUCUAAUUACAUAGUUAGAAACACAUAGGGUUGAUUAGUUCUAAAGGGAGUUCAAUUUCCUUCUUGAAAUACUAAAGAGACUCAAAAGUGGAACUCCUGCCUCUUCAUGUUUUUUGCAUAAUAUUUUACAAUAUUAGCAUACGAAUUGACGUUAAACUAUGAAUGACUGAGACUCCUUAAAGAGUCCUACUGUUUUUAGAGUCCUUCUAGCAUUACUUUGUAAAAAAUAAUAAUGAAGGCUGUUGGGGUGUUAUUUUAUCCAACAGGAUCCUCUU